AGUGGCGCCGGGAAAAAAAUAGCUCUAAACUAUUGAUAUUUAAUCUUAGUUAUGCUUACUUUAAUCUUUUGGUCGAUGGUUCGAAUCCAUCACGGCCCACCA
rnacentral:tRNA from 1 species